UUAAAAAGCUCGUAGUUGAAUUUCGGGAUUAGUACGUCGGUCGUGCCUUCGGUACGUACUGGUGUUACUGAUUCCUACCUUCUGACGAACCAUCAUGUCAUUAAUUUGGUGUGGCGGGGAAUCAGGACUGUUACUUUGAAAAAAUUAGAGUGUUUAAAGCAGGCUCGCGCUUGAAUACAUUAGCAUGGAAUAAUGAAAUAGGACGUUGACCCUAUUUUGUUGGUUUCUAGGAUUGACGUAAUGAUUAAUAGGGAUAGUUGGGGG
rnacentral:rRNA from 1 species